GACGAACGCUGGCGGCGUGCUUAACACAUGCAAGUCGAACGCUGAAGCUUGGUGCUUGCACUGGGUGGAUGAGUGGCGAACGGGUGAGUAAUACGUGAGUAACCUGCCCUUGACUCUGGGAUAAGCCUGGGAAACUGGGUCUAAUACUGGAUACGACAUGUCACCGCAUGGUGGUGUGUGGAAAGGGCUUUAAUGGGUUUGGAUGGGCUCACGGCCUAUCAGCUUGGUGGUGGGGUAAUGGCUCACCAAGGCGACGACGGGUAGACGGCCUGAGAGGGUGACCGGCCUCACUGGGCCUGAGACACGGCCCAGACUCCUACGGUAGGCAGAAGUGGGGAAUAUUGCACAAUGGGCGGACGCCUGAUGCAGCGACGCCGCGUGUGGGAUGACGGCCUUCGGGUUGUAAACCUCUUUCAGCACGGAAGAAGCGAAAGUGACGGUACGUGCAGAAGAAGCGCCGGCUAACUACGUG
rnacentral:rRNA from 1 species